rfam:Ricinus communis cultivar Hale ctg_1100012360834, whole genome shotgun sequence.
GAUCUAUAGUGUGCAAAUUCUAAUAAAAGUGAUCUAAAACGAUCUCAUGCUUCAUAAAAAGACUCGGUAUCCUUUUGAUAAAAGUUAGAGAUUUCAUCCUUAAUUCU